GUGGAAAUCGUUCUCUGUUUGGUGGCUGCGAAAAUCUUCAAAAGUAAUAGGUUGAUUCCAAAAUAUUCAUGUACUCCUUUUUUGAUAUUGAGAAUAUGGGAAAAGAAAAUUAAAUUGAACAGUUACAUCAUCUGGAAUCUAGAGGAGCAAAAAGACUACAUGCCUUUCGUUUGCCUAUCUUUUCCUUUUUAUUUAGUGAUUCAUUAUUUUGGAUAAUAAGAAGCUA
rnacentral:misc_RNA from 1 species